GGGGUGCCCGGCCUGGUCUUCUUGGUCUUGUCCUCCUCACUGGAGCUGCUAUCAGCCUUUCUGGCCAGGCUUCUGGCUGCUGCCUGCAGGCUGCUCAGGGCUUGGGUGGCUCAGGGGUGGAAUUCUUGGUGGUGCUGCCUGGGCUGGAGCUUCAUCCCCAGGGCUGUCGGGGCGGAGCUCCCUGAAGUGCUUCUGCCACCUUUGCUUUGUCCGGUCUUGUGCUUGCUCUGGGGAUGGCUGCCUUAGCCGGGUGUCUUCUCUUCCUCAGAGCUUGACUCAGACCCAUCGCUACUGUCCACACUGCUUUCCACAGACUCUGCCUCCAUCUCCGCUUUCUGGGGGGCUGGGUUCCCAGGGACGUCUUCAGUGGCAGUGCAGGAGGCGGGGGACUGAACUGCAGGGACCUGGUGCAUUCUUUGUGGGUUUUUCUCUCCUCCUCACUGGGGCAGUCUGCACUGCUGGAGCUCUUCGGUGCAGGACAACAGCGGCUUUCCCUGGGACCUGGCCCAUGACUUGCUUCCAGGUCCAGUCUUCUUGACUUGCCUGGUUUGGCUGGGGCCUUUGCCUGAGCUUUCACUGCCACAGGAUGCUGCCUGGCUUCUUGUUCCUUGGCACCUCAUCCUCUGAGCUUGAGCUAGAAUCAGGCAUGUUGCUCUUGGCUUGGGGCUUUCUGGGGAGCCUUUUUGUCCUCCUUCUCCUCCUCCUUGCUGGAUUCUCCACUGCUGCUGGUCUCUGAAGCUUUGGCUGCACGGGAUGCCCACUAAUUUGGCCUCUGUCUGUUUUCUGGAGGGAACACAGCUCCCACUAGGAGGCUGUGACCGGGAUUGAGAGUCUACUGUAGCUGGCAGGGGUGGUGCACCUUCAGGGAGAGGGUGGGACUGGACAUUAGGAACGCCAGGCAGUCAGUGUAAGCUCAGAGCUAGUGUGCUGCACUAGGAGGAGCAGAGGUGAAGGCAGGCGUGGCCAGGCGGGCAAACCGAGGAGCAGGAAAACCGAUGGCAGGACGGACUCACAGACCUCUCACGGGUGCACUCCCUUGUUUGGGUGGGGGGGACCAACCAUCUCCAGUGCUCACUUUGCUCAGCACACACAGAGCCUGUGCCUGCACGCCCAUUACCCUUUACUCUUAAUACAAUGAGUAUGGAGCUCCUCUUGGUGGUCAUUAUUAGAGAGUCCAGCUGUUGCUCUUUAGUGUCUUGUACAUAGGAGCUUUUUUUGUUUGUGGUGCUGAGCCAAAUCUCCAGCUCUCAGGACACAGGCUUUUUAUACAGGUUGAACUCCUUCCCAGGUUUUGUCUUUUUAAAAAAACAGCCAUGCACAUUUUUUCAUCUUUGUUGGGUCCUAUUUAUUUGUAUUCACUUAGGGUUAUAUUUGUUUAAGAAUAUAAUAUAUAUUUGUCUAUACUUAGAGUUAUAUUUGUUUAACC
rnacentral:lncRNA from 1 species